GUGAGGAAUAUUGGUCAAUGGGCGCAGGCCUGAACCAGCCAAGUAGCGUGAAGGAUGACUGCCCUAUGGGUUGUAAACUUCUUUUAUAUGGGAAUAAAGUUUUCCACGUGUGGAAUUUUGUAUGUACCAUAUGAAUAAGGAUCGGCUAACUCCGUGCCAGCAGCCGCGGUAAUACGGAGGAUCCGAGCGUUAUCCGGAUUUAUUGGGUUUAAAGGGAGCGUAGGUGGACAGUUAAGUCAGUUGUGAAAGUUUGCGGCUCAACCGUAAAAUUGCAGUUGAUACUGGCUGUCUUGAGUACAGUAGAGGUGGGCGGAAUUCGUGGUGUAGCGGUGAAAUGCUUAGAUAUCACGAAGAACUCCGAUUGCGAAGGCAGCUCACUGGACUGCAACUGACACUGAUGCUCGAAAGUGUGGGUAUCAAACAGGAUUAGAAACCCCAGUAGUCCC
rnacentral:rRNA from 1 species